rnacentral:rRNA from 1 species
GGGGGGUGCAAGCGUUAUUUGGAAUUAUUGGGCGUAAAGGGCGCGUAGGCGGUCUCUAAAGUCAGAUGUGAAAGCCCGGGGCUUAACCCCGGAAGUGCAUUUGAAACUCAGGGACUUGAGUAUGGGAGAGGGAAGUGGAGUUCCUGGUGUAGCGGUGAAAUGCGUAGAUAUCAGGAGGAACACCAGUGGCGAAGGCGACUUCCUGGACCAAUACUGACGCUAAGGCGCGAAGGCGUGGGGAGCAAACAGGAUUAGAUACCCUGGUAGUCCACGCAGUAAACGGUGAACACUAGGUGUAGCGGGUAUUGACCCCCCUGCUGUGCCGCAGCUAACGCAUUAAGUGUUCCGCCUGGGGGAGUACGAUCGCAAGAUUA